AGGAUCUUUUAGUGAAAUAAGACAUGGUUCCUGCCUUCAAAGAACUUACAGUCCAGUAUAGUGGAAGAACUGUGAGAUACAUGCCCAGAUGCUGUGCUUAAUGAUGGGGAUAAAAAUAUAAGCGAAAAGAAAGACACUGACAUUCUAAUG